rnacentral:rRNA from 1 species
CCUACGGGCGGCAGCAGUGGGGAAUAUUGCACAAUGGGGGGAACCCUGAUGCAGCGACGCCGCGUGAGUGAAGAAGUAUUUCGGUAUGUAAAGCCCUAUCAGCAGGGAAGAAAAUGACGGUACCUGACUAAGAAGCCGCGGCUAACUACGUGCCAGCAGCCGCGGUAAUACGGAGGGGGCAAGCGUUAUACGGAUUUACUGGGUGUAAAGGGAGCGCAGAGGGCUGUACAGGUCUGGAGGUAAAGGCGGGGGCCCCACCCCCGGAGUGCUGGUGAAACUGGAAAGCUGGAGUGCAGGAGAGGUAAGCGGAAUUCCUAGUGUAGCGGUGAAAUGCGUAGAUAUUAGGAGGAACACCAGUGGCGAAGGCGGCUUACUGGACUGCAACUGACGUUGAGGCUCGAAAGCGUGGGGAGCAAACAGGAUUAGAUACCCUAGUAGUC